GGGUGGCUUAUAUACUGGGCCAAAGUCUGUCUGGCCAUUCCUACACUCCACCUAUCUAUCUGUGCCUCUCCAUACAGACUAAUAAUAAUAAUCUGCCUUCAGAGAGCAUCAUGGAAUAUUUCAGCCUGAAAGGCAUGCACGUGCAACUUGAGUGUCCCAGACGUCUCCCGGGAGUGGGAUUAAGAAGCUGUCACUCGCCGACCCUUCCCUAGGCUUCUUCACAUCAGAGCCCUCGUCAGGAAGAGAGAGGCACGUGGCUUCAUUAGUCAG